AGCAGCUCCGGGGCGUCCUGAGCAUCCCAGGGCAGCUCCGAGCACCCCGGGAAGGAUCCGAGCAUCUCCGGAGGGGAAUGCAGAGGGUACUGAGCAUUCUAGAGGCACCCCAGCAGCGCAGAUGGUUCUGAGCAUCCCGAGAGGUUCCGGGUAUACGAAGGGGGCCCUGGCCAUCGCGGGUGGGGCGGUAUCGAACAUCCCGAGGCGUUCGAGCAUCCCCGGCGCACGGCACCGCCGUCCUCGCCCCAUCCGCAGCUCAGGUACGGCUGUUCCCAUCGCGGAGCCGGGGCUGAGCUGCCUGAAAAACGCCGCCGAAACCGUGGGAGACGGCAGGCAAUCGGCACGGAGGGGCAGCCCUGCAGUGCCACCGCUGCCACUGUCCCUCAGCAAAGAGAACCGAGCAGAUCCCAGGAAACAUUAACUCCUGCUUCUCCAUGGCCCCAAAACAAGCCGCCUGGGCUGGCCCUGUGCUUCCAAGCUGGUGACUCUUCUGUGGACAGAGACUUUCACAUUCUGAUACUUUGAAAAGGACACCUGAAACUUCUGGGAUCUUUCCACCAAGGAAAUGAGUCUACAAACCAGGGAAGUUGUUCAGCACAGCUCUAUUUCUUUACCAAGACAUGACCAUGCAGAAGGACCAACUUCAGAUAACUAAAGAGGAAAGAGAAGGCACUUGCUGCUUCCAAGCCCACCUGCCCAGGUGCUUCUCCAUUUCCCAGCAGAAGUAAUUCCCAAAUGUUUGUACCACCUGUAACCAUUUGGUGUCUGACCAUUAAAGCUGUGGCUGGCCCAUCCCUAAAAGUGUCCAAGGCCAGGCUGGACAGGAGUUGGAGCAACCUGGGAUAGGGGAAAGUUGCUCUACCCCAUGGCAGGGGUAGAACUGGAUGGGCUUUGAAGUCCUUUCCAACCCAAACCAUUCUACAUUAUUAUUCUGUAAUCUACAGAAUAAAGAUGUCCCCUAAAAGAACAACAGAAUCCCAAUGUACAGACAGGGAAUUCCAGAACACUGGACUAAAGCACACCAGGUGUCAACAGCCCAUUAAGGUGUUUCCUAUAUGGCGAAAAAGCAAAAGACGUUCAGCAGAGCAUCAGUGCUACCACAGCUCUCAAUUCCCUCAGGAUCAACUCUGCAACUGCUGCUUAUUCCAGGCCAAGCGUGCAGUGGCAGAAGGGACAAUUUCCAAGCUGGAAUAUUUAUUCUGCAACAGAGACCAUCCUCUGUAGAUCACCCCUAAAGUGAAUGCAGUAAGGGGAACCCUCCUGAUCCCUCACCAAAAAUCCCCACAUUUCCCAUAGAAUCAUCCCAGACUGAUUUGGGUUGGAAGGGAUGCUAAAGAUCAUCCAGUGCCACCCCUUUCCACUGUCCCAGGCUGCUC